UACGGAGGGUGCAAGCGUUAUCCGGAUUCACUGGGUUUAAAGGGUGCGUAGGCGGGCAGGUAAGUCAGUGGUGAAAUCCUAGAGCUUAACUCUAGAACUGCCAUUGAUACUAUCUGUCUUGAAUAUUGUGGAGGUAAGCGGAAUAUGUCAUGUAGCGGUGAAAUGCUUAGAUAUGACAUAGAACACCUAUUGCGAAGGCAGCUCACUAAACUGUAACUGACGCUGAGGCACGAAAGCGUGGGGAGCAAACAGG
rnacentral:rRNA from 1 species